UGCACAUGAUUAUUUUUCUCACGAUGGUCUUCCAAGUCACAAGGACUUUGACGACAAUGCCUUAAGGCAAUGCUGAUGCAGCCCC